UCCUCGUGCGAUAAUUUGUCAUUUUGCAUCUGGCAACCUGACGAACUCGCUCGCCCUUUGAAAGAGACAGGAGGAGAGCGGGGGAAAAAAGAAGAGGAAGAAGGAGGAAAAGAACGCAGACUUUCGAGCUCAGGUUUGGACCAACAUCAGCCUGGGAGGACACACGAUUAGGGACAUCCAAUUUAAGGUUUGGACCAACAUCAGCCUGGGAGGACACACGAUUAGGGACAUCCAAUUUAAGGGCUUCAGUGGGGAUUGUGGGCAUGAAGAACCACUAUUUACCUCUGGAGAAUUAAAGACAAGUUCCAGGCUUCAUUUUGUGCAGUAAUAUUUGAAAAACAAUAAAGUGUAACAUCAACAUUG